rnacentral:rRNA from 1 species
UAGGGAAUCUUCCGCAAUGGACGCAAGUCUGACGGAGCAACGCCGCGUGAGUGAAGAAGGAUUUCGGUUCGUAAAACUCUGUUGUUAGAGAAGAACAGCGCAUAGAGUAACUGUUAUGCGUGUGACGGUAUCUAACCAGAAAGCCACGGCUAACUACGUGCCAGCAGCCGCGGUAAUACGUAGGUGGCAAGCAUUGUCCGGAUUUAUUGGGCGUAAAGCGAGCGCAGGCGGUCAAUUAAGUCUGAUGUGAAAGCCCCCGGCUCAACCGGGGAGGGUCAUUGGAAACUGGUUGACUUGAGUGCAGAAGAGGAGAGUGGAAUUCCAUGUGUAGCGGUGAAAUGCGUAGAUAUAUGGAGGAACACCAGUGGCGAAGGCGACUCUCUGGUCUGUAACUGACGCUGAGGCUCGAAAGCGUGGGUAGCAAACAGG